rnacentral:rRNA from 1 species
UUUUGACCUCGGAUCAGGUAGGGAUACCCGCUGAACUUAAGCAUAUCAAUAAGGCGGAGGAA